rnacentral:rRNA from 1 species
GGAGUCUGGACCGUGUCUCAGUUCCAAUGUGGCCGUUCAUCCUCUCAGACCGGCUACUGAUCGUCGCCUUGGUAGGCCGUUACCCCACCAACUAGCUAAUCAGACGCAGACCCAUCGCAAAGCGAUAGCUUACAAGUAGAGGCCAUCUUUAAUCAAGCUCCCAUGCGGAAACUUGACAACAUUCGGUAUUAGCAGUCCUUUCGGACUGUUGUCCCCAUCUUUGCGGCAGGUUGUCUACGCGUUACUCACCCGUUUGCCACUCGACUCAUCUAAGCAAGCUUAAAAUCGUCUCGUUCGACUUGCAUGUGUUAAGCACGCCGCCAGCGUUCGUCCUGUAGCCAUGAUCAAACUACU